UACAGAGGUGGCAAGCGUUGUUCGGAAUUACUGGGCGUAAAGGGCGCGUAGGCGGUCUUGUAAGUCUCGUGUGAAAUCCCUCGGCUUAACUGAGGAACUGCACGGGAUACUGCAUGACUUGAGGUCGGGAGAGGGAAGCGGAAUUCCGGGUGUAGCGGUGAAAUGCGUAGAUAUCCGGAGGAACACCGAUGGCGAAGGCAGGUCUCUGGGCCAUUACUGACGCUGAGAAGCGAAAGCAUGGGGAGCGAACAGG
rnacentral:rRNA from 1 species